AUGGACAAAAUCGUUUUGUUUCCAUAUCCAGCUAGCCUGAAAAAUUGCUGUUCAUAUACUGAGGCCAGGGAUGUGACAAAUUCAGAUAAGGUUGAUCAUUUUUUUUCUAAAAAGUGUCUAUCCAUUUUUCACUACUGGGAUAACAACAGAAAAAUAAAGUUACUCACCAGGCGAAGUUACUAUGAGCCUAGUCCCUUCAGCAAAUUUCUUGAUCCACCAAGUGUAAUCCCAUCCUGCACAGUAGUAAAUGGCCAUGUCUUCCUUCUCUACGGACUUGAUGGUAAGGAUUGAAGUGAGAGUUUGAGAAUUCUUUCUCGCUUCCACUUUGUUGCUCCUCUUACCCAUGCUGCCAUGAACUGCGGAUGUUGUUGAGACAAUAUAGAUCAGAUGCUCCAAAGCCUGAUUCGGUUUCUGCCGGUACCAGUGAAUGGCAUCGCUUUCAAAGUUUGUGCUCCUUAUCUUGCAAGAUAUGUCAAUACUUUUCUUGACUUCCGUGGAAAUGGAUAGCUGGAACUGCUCCACUUUCGAUAAUCCAAGUCCAACUGUAAGUAAAAGAGGAGAAUUUCCAAUGAACAUCUGAGAGUGGAAGAGGGAAACAUUGAUGAAUUAUUUUGGUCAUGCAGCUAGACUGAAAUGUUCAGACAGCAACUCACGUGCCCAGAAGGACGAGAAGGCGAAUGCUUCCAGCAGUGACAUCCUGUCUUCAGGGUGGUGUCCCCAAGGAGAAGGCAGGAAAGUGCGGACCUGGUGGCUAGACACCUCGGGUCAGGGGCUGGAGGGUGUGGCCUGAAUUGGGGAGAGAAAAGAAAGUGGUUUUUUGGGCCCUUCAGUGCCGCCUGCAGGCUCAGCACUGCACCCUGCUCACCCUGCUUAUCUCAGAUCAGGCUAGCAGUCUCGACGGGGUUCUCUGCCCGAAUUUGAGGGGGCCAUUGGGAUUGCUUAAUUUCUAUGGAAAUGAGAAGGAUUUCUAAUUGCUUAGGAGUUGUUCAUAAACACUUUUCCUCAGCAUAAUAUUUUAAAUUGUUGCAUAUUUAAUAAACAUUAACUUUUAUAAUAGCAAAUACUUACUGAGCAUUUUCUAUUUGCUAGCCUUUUAUUUCUAAAUGAUUUUCACCUUCUAAUCUUCACAAUGAUCACGUAAUAUGGGUACUUGGAAUUUUCAUUUUAUGGAUGAGGUAAUGAGGCACAGAGUCAUCAAGUAACGGCACAGAAGUCACACAGCGGAUAGGUAGAACGUGCUGGUAACGGUGCUGGUCGAAGAAACUCAGAGCAAUGGGGAAAGAUAACAAUAAAAACAUCUAUGGUCAUAUCACGAAGGCCCACUACUAUUCGCAUUAUCAUAUGCUCGACAGUAGAUUUUUUCAUUGUAGAUACAUGAAUAUUAAUAUGAUUUUAUGGACUAUAGAUAUAUUUACAUGUAUAGUGUUCUGUAUUCUUUCAGUUCAGCUUAUAUUCUGAGCAACUUCCCAUGUCA
rnacentral:lncRNA from 1 species